CCACCCGAUUCUAAGUUCUGUCCACAUAUCUCUUUGCAUAGCGGCCAAUAGCAAUUAGUACUCAAUUCAUCCUCAUUUAUAAUACGUUUGACUUUGUUGAAACCAAAUUUGACCACUUAUCUUAUUUAAAAAUUUAUGCAAAAUAUUACUUUUUUGUCAUGGCUUGAUUUAUUAAUAAAAGUUCUUCGAGAAUGACUUAAAUUUUGCUAUCUUUGCAUAAUCUUUUUGAAUAAAACGAGUGAUUAAAUUUAGAGUCAAAAAACUCAAAUGUGUUAUAGUUUAGGAUGGAGGGAGUAUUUCAGUUUAAAGCUCAGUGCUCACCACGGAAUAAGGCAGAUACGAGGAUGCGCAGCGCCAGAGACUGAGUAUAAGGAGAAAUCGACGUGGUGGGCGGCCGUAUUGCACUGUGGCAUCCGAAACCCUAACACGGGUGGCAUGGAAGGGGUGGAAUCCGGCAAAAAUGAUGCCCUAGAUGCCAGCGCGGACGGCGGAGGACGGGGCUGCGGCUGACGCGGGAGGCGCUGAGAACAGUAGGCAAGAGCGAGACCGGGGGGGAGGGCGACCAGAAAUCUUCCCGUCCGAACGUUUGGAGGGGAGACGUCGUCUGAUGAUUCCCGCGUUUGCCACGUAAAUACGUUUCCUUUUUAUUUUCUUUUGUUUUUUGUUUUUUGUUUUUUCUUUCCUUUUCUUUUCUUCUUAUUUUCUUUCUUUCUACGUUUCUUUUCUUUUUCCCUUUUGAAAGGAUCAAGAUGCCCAAGAGGGGGGUGAAUUGGGCUUCUCUAAAAAUUUAAGCAACCUAUAAGCUCCAAUUCAACCCCUUGUGCCUAGUGUGACUUAGAGAGCUACCGGAUAAAAAGUUUUGCAACCUAGUUCCAAUCCUAUUCUAGCAUGGCAAUUCUAAGAAUGUAAAAACACAAAGUAAAUGCUAGAAAGUAAAGGAGUAGUGGAAGAAAGUGCUCGGUGAUGUUUUGCCGAGGUAUCGGAGAGUCGCCACUCUCCACUAGUCCUCGUUGGAGCACCCGCGCAAGGGUCUUGCUCCCCCUUGGUCCGCGCAAGGACCAAGUGCUCUCUAUGGGCUGAUUCUUCGAAACUCCGUCUCGGUGAAUCGCCCAAAACCGCUUACAAGCUUGACACGAGCCACCCACAAGAACUCCGGGUGAUCUUCGUGCCUCCAAUCACCACCGAACCGUCUAGGUGAUGGCGAUCACCAAGAGUAACAAGCAAAGAACUCUCACUUGACCCAAACAAGGCACUAGAGAGUGGUGGAUGCACACUUGACUCUUGGAACUCACUAGAGGAGGAUUCUCUCAAGAAUUCACUCAAAUCUCAAUCCUCUCUAGGCUCUUUGCAACUCUCUUGCUCCACAACAAGUUUCUCUGAUGUUCAAAUGGGCAAGAGUGCUCUCAUGGACGAGGUGGAGGAGUAUAAAUACUAUCCACGAAGUCUAAAGGUCGGCCAACCGUUUUCCACUGAAAACGGGGUCACUGGACGCACGUUAUGUUGCACCGGACGCACUGCACCGAGCGUCCGGUGUGACAUAACGGCUACCUGCGCUUUUCUCUGACAGGUCACCGGACGCUAACUCGCAGCGUCCGGUGCACCGUCCGGUGCUCGGGGAAACUUUACAUGUUCCCUGCGCAUGGGACCGGACGCUACCCGGCGCGUCCGGUGCUAGCGUCCGGUGCUCAGGGGAACUUUGCAAGCUCCCUGGGUAAGGGACCGGACGCUGCCCGGUGCGUCCGGUGCCAGCGUCCGGUGCCUAACCCUAAGCACCAAACAGCUCCAACGGCUAAGGACCUCACCGGACGCACUCACAGAGCGUCCGGUGCCCCUUUGGGCACCCAAACCUCGUCGAAACGCGAUCGCUCCAACACGAAGUUAGUUCCUCUCGAUCUAAGGACUAUCUCUGAGCUGCCUAGUGCUAGGUUUACCAAGUGUGCACCACACCUAAACCUAAAGCCUUGCCUAAGUCAAGCUACUAGAUCAAAGCCCCUCUUAAUAGUACGGUCAAAGAAAAACAAGGUCCUAAACUACUCUAAGUGCCCUUCUUCACCAUGUGGCACUUAGACCUAGUCUAGUCUUGACGAUGUCCAUCCAUCCUUUGAAAACCGAAACGAUUUCCACUAUUAAGUAGGCAUGUACGUCCCUGUCCAUCGAGUACCUAUAUACCAUGACCUUACCUAUGACUUUGCCUCUGCAAAACACACGUUAGUCACAGUAAUCAAUAAUGUCAUUAAUCACCGAAAUCACUAGGGGCCUAGAUGCUCUUUCAAUCUCCCCCUUUUUGGUGAUUGAUGACAACCUCGAGUAUGAAAAGAGUUGAGGUUUUCAAAGUGACUUGGUUUCAAUAAGCAUAUUACAAUAAGAAUAAAAGGAUUAGUAAUGCUUAUAUCAACCAAGUCCAAUACCCUGCAUCCAAAUAUGUGAGUGGUAUACGACAGGAUAUAAACACUAGGCUCAUAAGUACAUCGGAGUAGAAACGCGGAAACAAAAGGUAAUAUGAGCCAAAACACAUGACAUUAAGAAAUCCCAUAAAGCACAAAUCAUGUCUCAUAACCAUAGUAUCUCACACAAGUGCAAUGCAAAAAGGUAAACAUGAUGCAUGAUAAAAAGCACACAUAAAGAGUAUCUCAAAAGAAUAAACUCCCUCUCUAGCUCCCCCUAAGUCCCUAACUCUCUCAUACGGGGGGUUGCUCAACAUAGACAAGCUCAUUAAUAUAACCAUUUAAAAAGGCACUUUUCACAUCCAUUUGAAAUAACUUGAUAUCAUGACUAGAUGCAUAUGCAAGUAGGAUACGGAUUGCUUCAAGUCUUGCCACCGGUGCAAAAGUUUCACCGAAGUCAAGACCUUCCACUUGUGGAAAGCCUUUUGCCACAAGUCUUGCCUUGUUGCGCACCACUUUGCCUUGAUCAUCCUUCUUGUUCCGGAAGACCCACUUUGUUCCAAUCACUCUUGCAUCUUUGGGUCGCUCUUCAAGUGUCCAUACUUGAUUGCGAGAGAAGUUGUUCAACUCCUCUUGCAUGGCCAUGAUCCAAUCCGCAUCACGAAGAGCUUCCUCUAUAGUCUUUGGUUCAUCUUCAAGAGACACAAAAGCGUGAUGUUCAAUAAAUAAAGCAUGUCUAGAACGAGUAGUUACACCACGUGAUGGACUCCCGAUGAUGAGAUCUUGAGAGUGAUCUUGGAGGAGAUGUGAUGUUCUUCUUGGUGUCACUUGAGGGGUUGGUUGGGGAGCAUCAACAUCUUGUGCUUGUGCCACCGCUUGCUCAUGAGUGACUUGGGUGUCUUCAUGAGCAUCUCUCACAUCCUUGUCUUCAUCUUGUGGACCUUGUGAGGUGGAUGGUGGCUCAAUGACUUGCACAUCAUCAUCAUCUUCUUUAGGCUUGAUGUCUCCCACCGGGAUGUUCUUCAUGGCAUCCCUCAAUGGUUCACCACCUACAUCAUCAAGAUUAUCACUUGCUCCUUGGGAGCCAUUAGUUUCAUCAAAUUCAACAUCAAAUGUUUCUUCAACCAUGUUUGUGGCAUGGUUAAAGACCCUAUAUGCUUUGGACUUUGAUGAAUAGCCAACCAAGUAGCCAAUGUCACAUCUUCUUUGGAACUUUCCCAAGUGUUGGCGCUUCUUGUAGAUGUAGCACUUGCACCCAAACACUCUAAAGAAUGAGACAUCGGGCUUCUUCCCAUUGAGCAACUCAUAUGGUGUCUUAUCUAGGAACUUGUGUGGAAAGAGCCGGUUUGAAGCAUAGCAUGACGUGUUGAUUGCCUCGGCCCACAUCUUCUCCGAAGUGUUAUACUCAUCUAGCAUUGUUCUUGCCAAGGUGAUCAAUGUCCGGUUCUUUCUUUCUACAACUCCAUUUUGUUGUGGUGUGUAUGUUGAGGAGAACUCAUGCUUGAUUCCCACUUCAUCACAAUAUUCUUCAAUGUUGGUGUUGUCAAACUCUUUGCCAUUGUCACUUCUAAUUUUCUUGAUCUUCACAUCAAAUUGAUUUUGGGCAUUCUUUGCAAAUUUCUUGAAUAUUGAUGCAACUUCGGCCUUGUCUUGCAAGAAGAAUGUCCAAGUGUACCGGGAGAAAUCAUCAACUAUGACCAAACAAUAUUUGUUGCCUCCAAGACUAGCAUAUGUGGUUGGUCCAAACAAAUCCAUGUGAAUUAGCUCAAGCACUCUUGAAGUAGAGAGAUAGGCUUUGGUUGGAUGAGUGUUUGCAACUUGUUUUCCCGCUUGACAUGCACUACAAAGCUUGUCCUUUUCAAAUGUCACAUCCUUCAAGCCUCUAAUCAAUUCUUUCUUCAUCAACUUCUUGAGUGUGCCCAUUCCAACAUGUGCUAACCUUCUAUGCCACAACCACCCAAGUGAAGUCUUGGUGAAUAAGCAAGUCUUGACAUUAACUUCAUUGGAUGAGAAGUCAACCACAUAUAAGUUGUUGUGCCGGAAGCCUUUGAAUAUCACUUCAUUGUCAUCUUCCUUGGUCACAAUUACUUCCUUCUUCUUGAAUAGGCAUUCAAAUCCAAGGUCACAUAAUUGUCCAACCGAGAGCAAAUUGAAACUCAAAGAUUGCACAUAGAGCACAUUGGUGAUGGAGUUGUCAUUUGAUAUAGCAACCUUUCCUAGUCCCUUGACUUUCCCUUUUGAAUUGUCACCAAAUGUGAUCUUCUCUUGAUUGUCAACAUCUUCAUCAAGAGAGGUGAACAUCCGGGGAUCUCCGGUCAUAUGUUGAGUGCAACCACUAUCAAUUACCCAAUGUGAUCCACCGGUCUUGUAGUUCACCUACACACAAGAGAUCAAGCUUGAGAUUUAGGGACCCACAUUUGCUUAGGGCCCUUGACCUUCUCUACUAGUUGCUUUGGCACCCAAAUCUUCUUUGUCCUUUGCUUGUUUGGUGGCCCCAUGAAGCUAACCUUGACCUUGCCACACUUGUCUUUUCUUACAAUGUAAUGAGCAUUGAAGGCAAAUGGUCUUGCAUGCUUGGGCAAGGGUGGUGGUAGUGGUGCCUUACACUCAUGAGCAAAGUGUCCUUCUUGACCACACUCAAAGCAUCUCUUUGGUUUUAGCUUGCUUGAUUGAUCAUGAGUAGCUAGUGACUUGAUGAGCUUUGUUUGAUGUGCCUUGUAGCCAAUUCCACUUUUGUCCAUCUUCAUGACGAUGUUCAUGAAAAGCUCACUUUGAAGGUCCUUCCCCUUUGUGAACUUUGCUAACCCCAUGGUUAGGUGUUCCUUCUCUUUCUUGAGCUUGUUGUUCUCUUGAGUUAGCCUCUUGAUGAUUGGGUCAUUGUUGCUUGCUAACUCAUCCAAGAUGAAUAUCUCAUCUUCUUCUUGCUUGUCAUACAUCAAACCAAGCUUGAGAUAUUGAUUUUCUUCUUUGAGCAACUUGUUCUCAUAUGCAAGCUUCUUGUCUUGAUCAAUUGACUCAAUCAUAUUGGUCUUGUGCUUGACUUGUUCUUGCAACUCUUUCUUGAGCAAGACAAUUUCAUUCUUGAGCUUGAUAGUGUCCUCAUAACUCUCGGCCACUACCACUUUCUUGCCCUUGCAAUCAACACAUUUGCUUGUGCUCUCCACAAGUAAGUCAUCACAAGAUGUGGCUACAUCAAGCUUAGCAACAUUGUUAGUAGCAACAUGUGUUUCAUCAAUUGCAAGUUCAUAAGCAAUCUCAAGGUUGUCAUAGUUUGCUUUUAGAGUUGUUAGUUCUUCUUUCAUUGCUCUAUAUCUAGUGAUAAGCUCAUCAUGAACACUCUCAAGUUUAUCAUGUUUUUCUUUGAGCUCUUUUAGAGAAAGUUUGAGCUCCUUGAGCUUAGUGGUCAUGAUCUCAUUUUGUUCUCUAAGCUCAUCACUAGAGUUAAGCUUUGCUAGAAGUGUAUCAUUUUCAAGUUCAAGCUUUUCAUUUUCACUUCUAGUCUUUCUUAUGACUUUUGUGUAUUUGUUUAGCAAUUUUACAAGUUCAUCAUAAGUAGGUGAUUCAUAUUCACUAUCACUUUCACUACUCUCAUCCUCACUUUGUACCUUCCGGUCACCUUUGGCCAUAAGGCAUAGGUGUGUAGAGGAUGUAGAUGAUGGUGAAGAUGAUGGUGAUGGAGCAUCAAUGGCGAUAGCGGCAACCUUCUCAUCAUCACUUUCAUUGCCGGAGGAGUCACCACUUGAGCUUUCAAUGUCGGUGAGCCAAUCACCAACAAUAUAAGCCUUGCCAUUUUUCUUCUUGUAGCGCUCCUUCUUGCCACCUUUCUUCUUGUAUUGCUUCUUGUCAUUUUUCUCAUCAUCACUUGAGUCAUCUUGCUCUUUGUUCUUCUUCUUGUACUUGUCCUUCUUGGGCUUUGGACAUUGAUGAGCAAGAUGACCAAGCUCACCACAAUUGUAGCAAUCCAUCUCAGAGAUGGGUUUCCUCUUGCUACUUGUGAAGAACUUCUUCUUGGAGUCAAAGUUGACUCCAUUCUUGUUGAGCUUCUUCAACAUUUUUGUGGUUCUUCUCACCAAGAGGGCAAUGGAUGCAUCAUCAUCACUUGAAGUUGAUGACUCAACUUCAAUCUUCUUGGCCUUGCCCUUGUGAGAAGCCUUGAGAGCCAAGUCCUUCUUUUCUUUCUUUGCCGACGAAGAGCCAUCUUGAGGGUUCAUGUGCAUGUACAUCUCGUGAGCAUUGAUCUUCCCCAAUAUGGUGGUUGGUGUAGCGGUGGAAAGAUCGCCUUGAUGAAGCACGGUUACUAUGUGCCCAUAUUUCUCAAUGGGAAGCACACAUAGUAUCUUCCUUGCAACAUUCGCCGUACUCAUUUGUGUAAGCCCAAGUCCAUUUAGCUCCUCUACAAUGACAUUCAAGCGAGAAUACAUUUCAUUAGCAUUUUCUUUAGGAAGCAUUUCAAAUGUAUUAAGCUUGUUCAUCACUAGGUGAUUGCGUUCCUCGCGUUCACUCUUAGUUCCCUCAUGGAGCGCACAAAGUUCCUUCCAAAGUUCAUUGGCGGUUUUGUGGCUCCGAACACGGUUGAACACCUCUUUGCAAAGACCUCUAAAGAUGUGGUUUUUGGCCUUUGCAUUCCACUUCUCGUUUUCUUGCUCUUGUGGAGUAAGAGCGGUGGCUCUUUCCGGAGGGGCAAACCCUUCGGUCGCGGCUUUUAGGCACUUUACAUCGCAUGCCUCAAGGUAUGACUCCAUCCGUAUUUUCCAAUACGGGAAGUCAUCCCCAUCGAACAUGGGUGGCGGUCCAUCCCCGUUAGACAUCUUUCUCUAGGCGGUGAAGCCUAAAUAAUGAGCACUAGGCUUUGAUACCAAUUGAAAGGAUCAAGAUGCCCAAGAGGGGGGGGUGAAUUGGGCUUCUCUAAAAAUUUAAGCAACCUAUAAGCUCCAAUUCAACCCCUUGUGCCUAGUGUGACUUAGAGAGCUACCAGAUAAAAAUUUUUGCAACCUAGUUCCAAUCCUAUUCUAGCAUGGCAAUUCUAAGAAUGUAAAAACACAAAGUAAAUGCUAGAAAGUAAAGGAGUAGUGGAAGAAAGUGCUCGGCGAUGUUUUGCCGAG
rnacentral:lncRNA from 1 species